GCUUGUCUCAAAGAUUAAGCCAUGCAUGUCUAAGUAUAAACAACUUUAUACAGUGAAACUGCAGAUGGCUCAUUAAAUCAGUUAUAAUUUAUUUGAUGAUUAACUUUACUACAUGGAUAACCGUAGUAAUUCUAGAGCUAAUACAUGCGAAAAGUCCUGACUUCUUCGUGAGGGAGGGAUGUAUUUAUUAGAUACAAUCAAACGCACCAACAUAAAACCUUGGUGAUUCAUAAUAACUGUUCGGAUCGUAUGGCUUUUUGCCGACGACAGAUCAUUCAAAUUUCUGCCCUAUCAACUGUCGACUGUGAUAUAGACGCUCACAGUGGUUUUGACGGGUAACGGGGAAUCAGGGUUCGAUUCCGGAGAGGGAGCCUUAAAAACGGCUACCACAUCCAAGGAAGGCAGCAGG
rnacentral:rRNA from 1 species